CCUACGUGGGGCUGCAGUGAGGAAUAUUGGUCAAUGGGCGCGAGCCUGAACCAGCCAAGUAGCGUGAAGGAUGACUGCCCUACGGGUUGUAAACUUCUUUUAUAAAGGAAUAAAGUGAGGCACGUGUGCCUUUUUGUAUGUACUUUAUGAAUAAGGAUCGGCUAACUCCGUGCCAGCAGCCGCGGUAAUACGGAGGAUCCGAGCGUUAUCCGGAUUUAUUGGGUUUAAAGGGAGCGUAGAUGGGUUGUUAAGUAAGUUGUGAAAGUUUGCGGCUCAACCGUAAAAGUGCAAUUGAUACUGGCAGUCUUGAGUACAGUUGAGGUAGGCGGAAUUCGUGGUGUAGCGGUGAAAUGCUUAGAUAUCACGAAGAACUCCGAUUGCGAAGGCAGCUUACUAAACUGCCACUGACAUUGAUGCUCGAAAGUGUGGGUAUCAAACAGGAUUAGAUACCCCAGUAGUC
rnacentral:rRNA from 1 species